UGGGGAAUAUUGCACAAUGGGCGCAAGCCUGAUGCAGCCAUGCCGCGUGUAUGAAGAAGGCCUUCGGGUUGUAAAGUACUUUCAGCGGGGAGGAAGGGAGUAAAGUUAAUACCUUUGCUCAUUGACGUUACCCGCGGAAGAAGCACCGGCUAACUCCGUGCCAGCAGCCGCGGUAAUACGGAGGGUGCAAGCGUUAAUCGGAAUUACUGGGCGUAAAGCGCACGCAGGCGGUCUGUCAAGUCGGAUGUGAAAUCCCCGGGCUCAACCUGGGAACUGCAUUCGAAACUGGCAGGCUAGAGUCUUGUAGAGGGGGGUAGAAUUCCAGGUGUAGCGGUGAAAUGCGUAGAGAUCUGGAGGAAUACCGGUGGCGAAGGCGGCCCCCUGGACAAAGACUGACGCUCAGGUGCGAAAGCGUGGGGAGCAAACAGG
rnacentral:rRNA from 1 species